CUUUUUUGUUGCUACUUCCCACACUGAAUUCUUGUUUUACUGAAUUUUCUUACUAUAAAAAUAAAGCAUGAUGGUAGUUUUAAAAACAAAACAGGAGUAUUGGAGAAGUACAGACCCCACUCCCAAUCCUUAUCUCCUUUCUGGCACUCUGCCCCUUAGCUAUACUGGAACAGGUAAUCAACUGCAGUGAAAAUCCUGGAGGCUGAGGAACUAGAGGUGGAGCAAGGGAAGAGUGUCCAGUAGCCCAGAAAAGGAUGAAACAAUUCCCCAACAAAAAAGUAGAAAGCGAACAUUUUCAAUAGCCCUCAGAGAAGAUGCAGCCCCUCCGCAGUAACCACAGAAAGGCAAUUUCUGAAAGCAGGGAGAAGGGGCUACUUUGGGCCUCCAGGACUACAAAGACAAAAAAAAGGAGUGACGGGACCUGAUGUGGUGGGGUGAGAUGGGAGUGAGGGUAAAGGAAGGGGCUCGUACUCUUAGUGGGAGUGGAAACUGGGGACCCAAGCUUACUGGUGAUGCAAACCUCACGUGACCAGGAGCUGACGUGGGCAAAGGUACUUAAAGCCCUGACCGCCGUUCUCCGUCCUCCUCUGGGUACCAACUCUAUUGCGCAGCUCGCUGCCCUGUGAUUAACCUAGGCGAGGAGGAGGAGAAGAAAACAUCCCCAGAUCCGGGCAGGCCCGACCCCACAUCCAGUCCUGUGUUGUGAGAAGAGGGAAGAGAAAUAAACGUGGCAGCGGCACAGGCCAGCGGGGAGACUGCUUUCCAGACACCUCCGGCCCACACAGCUGUUCACCCCCGUCUUUUCAGUCCUGGAAAAGGAAUUCGGGCUUUCACUGUCUAAAAUCGGCAGUCUACAUUUCUGCUCUUCAGUCGGUCCUUAGGAUGAAGCUCUAA
rnacentral:lncRNA from 13 species